rnacentral:misc_RNA from 1 species
GAUGAAGAACGUAGCGAAAUGCGAUACGUAAUGUGAAUUGCAGAAUUCAGUGAAUCAUCGAAUCUUUGAACGCACCUUGCGCCCCUUGGCAUUCCGAGGGGCACACCCGUUUGAGUGUCGUGAACAUCCUCAACCUCCUUGGUUUUUAUCGAACCAAGUAGGAUUGGAAUUUGGAGGUUUUCUGCUGGCCUCCUCUGAAGCCAGCUCCUCUUAAAUGUAUCAGUGGGAUCCGCUUUGCUUAGAUCCUCGACGUUGAUAAGAUGUUUCUACGUCUUGGGUUUUUCUCGCAAAGGACCUGCUUCUAACCGUCCCCAUCGGGGACAACCUUUGAGCCGAUCACCCUUCACGGGGUGGGAAGCUUUUUGACUCACGAAACCUUGACCUCAAAUCGGGUGAGACUACCCGCUGAACUUAAGCAUAUCAAUAAGCGGAGGA